rnacentral:lncRNA from 1 species
GGUGUCAAGGACACACACGGAGAAGGUGGCACCCCCCCCCAGGGUGUCACCCACCCCCUGGCAUCGCCCACCCCCCCUGCUUUACCCGGCAGCGGUAGCGCAACCCCUCGAUCUCCUCCAUGGAGAACUUGUAGGGCUUCAGCAGGGACUCGCCGGUUUCUGGGGGACAAGGACAAGGGGGUCACCCUCUUGCCAGUGUCCCCUUUCCCCCCCCCCACUCCCCCGUGGUGACACCCACCCGUGGCCAGCGCGGCCUCGAUGCGGGCCAGUCCCUCCUGCUCCUCGGGCAGCGCCAGGGUGAGGGCCGUGCCGGGGUUGUCGGCGCGGGCCGUCCUGUGGGGCAAGCGAAAGGGGACACGUUUGGUGGCCACGGGGUGGCCGUGUCCCCACCCCCCUGUCCCUUUCUGUGUCCCCCCCCCCCAAAAAACCCCGAAACGUACCUGCCCACGCGGUGGAUGUAGGAGUCGAGGGUGGGGGGCACAUCGAAGUUGAUGACGGCGGCCACGUUUUGGAAGUCGAUGCCCCGGGCCACCCCGUACUCGGGGUCCUUGCCCUUGCUGGGGGGGGGGGACAAAGAGGGACAUGAGGGACAUUGGGGUGGCUCAGGGACACCCCCCUCCCACCAAAGGACACAGGGACAGACAGACAAGGGGACGGCUGGGACGCGCAUGGGGACAGGGGGGAAAGGGAUCCCCCGUGGGCACGGGGACGUGUGGCACGUGGUUAUGGGGUGGCACGUGGUUAUGGGGUGACAUGGUGACCCCAGAGCCGUGGGGACAAGGCAAGGAGACCCCCACAAAGCAGGGGACACUCUGGGGACAGGGACAUCCUCACAGGGACAGGGACAUCCCUGUGGGCACGGGGACAAUCUGGGCACGGGGACGUGUGGCACGUGGUUAUGGGGUGGCACGUGGUUAUGGGGUGACAUGGUGACCCCAGAGCCGUGGGGACAAGGCAAGGAGACCCCCAAAAAGCAGGGGACACUCUGGGGACAGGGACAUCCCCACAGGGACAUCCCUGCGGGCACAGGGACCUCUCCUGGGGACAGGGACCUUCCCUGGGGACAGGGACAUCCCCUUGGGGACAAGGAUCUCUCCAGGAGGUCCUUGUCUGGGGACCUUCCCUGGGGACACGGACAUCCCUGUGGGCAGAGGGACAACCCCAUGGGGACAGGGACCUCCCCACGGGGACAGGGACAACCCUGUGGGCACGGGGACAAUCUGGGCACGGGGACGUGUGGCACGUGGUUAUGGGGUGGCACGUGGUUAUGGGGUGACAUGGUGACCCCAGAGCCGUGGGGACAGGGCAAGGAGACCCCCACAAAGCAGGGGACACUCUGGGGACAGGGACAUCCCCUUGGGGACAUCCCUGCGGUCACAGGGACCUCCUCUGGGGACAGGGGCAUCCCCUUGGGGACAGGGACAUCCCCUUGGGGACAGGGACCAUCCCUGGGGACAGGGACCACCUCUGGGGACAAGGACAUCCCUGUGGUCACAGGGACCACCUCUGGGGACAGGGACAUCCCCUUGGGGACAGGGACCACCUCUGGGGACAAGGACAUCCCCUUGGGGACAGGUGCCACCCCUGGGGACAAGGACAUCCCUUUGGUCACAGGGGCAUCCCCACAGGGACAGGGACCUCCCUUCGGGCACAGGAACCACCCCUGGGGACAGGGACAUCCCCUUGGGGACAGGGACAACCCCUGGGGACAGGGACAACCCCUGGGGACAAGGACAUCCCUGUGGUCACAGGGACCUUCUCUGGGGACAGGGCCCACCCCUGGGGACAGGGACAUCCCUGCAGGCACAGGGACAACCCCACAGGGACAGGGACCACCUCUGGGGACAAGGCCAUCCCCUUGGGGACAGGUGCCACCCCUGGGGACAUCCCCGCGGGCACAGGACGUUGUUGGGGACAGGGACACCCCGAGCAGAAACACCCCCAUGGCCCUGGGGCCACCUCACCUCCCCUUGGCCUCAGCGGGCCACGGCCCCGGUGAUACGGUGGCACCUAAGGGGACAUUGGUGGCACCUAAAGGGACAGUGGUGGCACCCGGGGGGGUGGCACCCGGGGGGGGGGGGGUCUCACCUCUGGCCCGUGCCCUUGCGUUUCUUGCCGGGGGGGCACCCCACGGGCAGGGCCGGCGCCUCCUCGUCGGUGGCCACGAUGUAGUUGUAGAUGCCCUGGUUGAACUGGGUGAUGACGUGGCACCUGGGGGACAAGGACAUGUCACCGUCACUGUCCCCAACACCCCCCCCCCCCCCCCCAACACCCCCCCUCCGCUUUGGUGUGACACCCCCCAGAUUCCCAGGUGCCCCCACCCUUCUUCCAAAGGGCACCCUCCUGGGACCCUCAGGGUGUCACUGGCCCCCAUGGGGCAUCUCCCCGGGCACCCCUUAUGUCACCCGGGGCACCCUCGGGGACCCCGUGUCCCCAAGGGGCACCCCUUGUCUCUGCGGGUACCCCAUGGCCCUUUGGGCACCCCUUAUCCCCUCCU